UCGAAUUCCCGAGUUGGCCCUAAACCUCCAUGUUCUACUUUUGACGCUGUUGUUCCUACAUUAAGAUGCUUGCUUCCAGUCUUAACUUCAUCUGAUUGGUGCACUGCAAUCACAUUUCCGGCAGCAGGAAGUUCAUCUUGAUGGUGUGGCUCUUCAGAACUGUGAGUAUUCAUGUUUUACAAGACUCAACAAUGUGAACAAAAUUUUUGUGACAGAGAUAUUAGUGAAGUGACAAAGUAAGCAUGAGAUUGGAGUAAAAGGCCCGGGUUAUAUAGGCAAAGAAUGAAGCACAAAGUAGUGGCAUUAUGGACUCAUCUUAUUAACAACGCCGUUGCACGUGGCGUGCAUCAAUUUGGUUUGGGAGGAAGAUAUGCUGCAAAUAGAGUUUCAAUGAAGUCGUCUAUCUCUAUUGGUAGUUUGGUACAAGUUUUCAGUCUUUU